rnacentral:rRNA from 1 species
CCUACGGGAGGCAGCAGUGGGGAAUAUUGCACAAUGGGGGAAACCCUGAUGCAGCGACGCCGCGUGAGUGAAGAAGUAUUUCGGUAUGUAAAGCUCUAUCAGCAGGGAAGAAAAUGACGGUACCUGACUAAGAAGCCCCGGCUAACUACGUGCCAGCAGCCGCGGUAAUACGUAGGGGGCAAGCGUUAUCCGGAUUUACUGGGUGUAAAGGGUGCGUAGGUGGCAUGGGAAGUCAGGUGUGAAAUCCCGUGGCUUAACCAUGGAACUGCAUUUGAAACUGUGCAGCUGGAGUGCAGGAGAGGUAGGCGGAAUUCCUAGUGUAGCGGUGAAAUGCGUAGAUAUUAGGAGGAACACCAGUGGCGAAGGCGGCUUACUGGACUGUAACUGACGUUGAGGCACGAAAGCGUGGGGAGCAAACAGGAUUAGAUACCCGGGUAGUC